CUUCAGCGAGCUCACGCUCACUAUCGGAUCGUUUUAGAAACAUUCAGGGGCCAACAGUUUCAGGAUUGUUGAGCUCCAUUGGCGGGAUUUCGCCGUCUUCGUUUCUCUUUCUUCGCGGACGAACACGCGCCAGGGGCUGAGCGCUGUGCGUCGCACCGAUGAUAAGUCGGGUGCGCGCCGGCAUGUCUCUCGUGUUAGGGGCUUGUAGCUCAGUUGGUUAGAGCGCGCGCUUGAUAAGCGUGAGGUCGGAAGUUCAAGUCUUCCCAGGCCCACCAUUUUGAUCGAGUGCGGAGCAUUCGUCUUCUGGUACGGGGCCAUAGCUCAGCUGGGAGAGCGCGUGCUUUGCAAGCAUGAGGUCGUCGGUUCGAUCCCGUCUGGCUCCACCAGAUGGAAUUGAAGCUCGAGAAUGCGCCUUGUGCAGGAAGCUCUGUUCAAAUCGUCCGCGAAACAUCACUUCGCACUCAUUGGUCCGGAUGGACGGUGACGUGCGUGUUUUCUGACAUCGUAAAGAGGAGAUCGAUCCGAGUUUGGAUCUGCGAAGCAAUUCGCGGGUACCAUUCCUAAUCUCCAGAUCGUUUUCGGCGCUCGCGCAUCGAAAUUCAUCGCAACUCACCGCAAGGUGAGUGAGAUGAGUGAGAUGAGCGAGUUGUAAAACGAUCUUUGUAGCGAAGCUUGACCGCCUCGCUAUCGGGCCGAUCUUACGAAGCAAGCUGGUCUUUCUAGUCAAUGUCCGGCUGCACAUAGCAUCUAUCGAGGGUGCGUGCCUUAACCGGCAAUUGUGCAGACAACAUUCUGCCGAGUGUGUGGACAUUGAUAAUGAGAGC
rnacentral:tRNA from 1 species